rnacentral:rRNA from 1 species
AUACAGAGGGUGCGAGCGUUAAUCGGAAUUACUGGGCGUAAAGCGCGCGUAGGCGGUCUAUUAAGUCAGAUGUGAAAUCCCAGGGCUCAACCUUGGAACUGCAUCUGAUACUGGUAGACUAGAGUUUUGGAGAGGGAAGUAGAAUUUCAGGUGGAGCGGUGAAAUGCAUAGAGAUCUGAAGGAAUACCAGUGGCGAAGGCGACUUCCUGGCCAAAAACUGACGCUGAGGUGCGAAAGCGUGGGUAGCAAACGGGAUUAGAAACCCGAGUAGUCC